UAUAAAUAUACGAAAAAUUAUAUUUUUGUAAGCAGUUUUUAUUUGAUCUUGGUUUUUUGUUUUUUCAAACAUUCCAUUGAUCCGCCUUUCCAACAGUAAAAGGAAAAACAAACAAAUUAAUACGCAGAACUUAAUGAGAAUACGAGAUGGUUUGGGUUGUGUGAAAAUGCAUAAAGAAGAGAAGGUAGUGUGGUGGCGAGAAACAUAACCGAUAUUAAUUGGGUUAAUAUAUAUAAAA
rnacentral:sRNA from 1 species